rnacentral:lncRNA from 1 species
UAGAAGCUCUGGCUGAAGAUGUUGGUGUCUGCUAGGUUUGAUGUAUUAUGAUGUUUCAUGGUUCCAGAAUGGAAUGUACGAAAUGGUACCAUAUUGGUAAUUAAAAUACUAUAAUACAAAUAUGUUCCAGCGGAGUAGUUUGAUUGAUUCAAGCUAGUUGGUAAAUCUUAUUCAUUAUCUUACAACUCAUAAUUAUUCCUGAA